rnacentral:lncRNA from 1 species
CAAUUUAUUGCGGAAUGUGUGCCUUAUUAACGCCAUCAAAAUACCAUAUCUGGCCCUGUGCUUUGGAACUGAAGAGCAAAGGUCUGGAGACCUUAGCAACUCUGACUGCGAUGACAACUUCUGCGAAGCGUACUGUCAAACCAUGGGUGGUGGCGGAGGAAGAUGCAAGGGAGAGAAGCUCAUCUGCAUAUGCUACUAGUUCACGG